rnacentral:rRNA from 1 species
AGAGUUAAACAGUACGUGAAAUUGUUGAAAGGGAAACGAUUGAGAUCAGUGUUGCCUUCUGGAAAUCAGCUUGUCAGCAAUGGCGGGUGCACUUUUCAGCUGGCAGGUCAGCAUUGGUUCCGUGCAGAGGACAUUAGUACAGAAAGGUGGCCUUCGCUUCGGCGUUGGUGUUAUAGUCUGUGCGAAUACUCUGUAUGGGACCAAGGAACGCGAUGUAAGCUUAGCGUGCGAAGGCGUCACUGUGUGGAUUACGCUUGCUGGAUGCCUAGCAAACUGUAGGUACACUCUAUGCACUGGCGUUCUAGUAACAUUACAUCAAGGAUGUUGACGAAAUGGUUUUAAACGACC